rnacentral:rRNA from 1 species
GCUGACGAGCGGCGGACGGGUGAGUAAUACUUAGGAAUCUACCUAGUAGUGGGGGAUAGCUCGGGGAAACUCGAAUUAAUACCGCAUACGACCUACGGGAGAAAGGGGGCAACUUGUUGCUCUCGCUAUUAGAUGAGCCUAAGUCGGAUUAGCUAGAUGGUGGGGUAAAGGCCUACCAUGGCGACGAUCUGUAGCUGGUCUGAGAGGAUGAUCAGCCACACCGGGACUGAGACACGGCCCGGACUCCUACGGGAGGCAGCAGUGGGGAAUAUUGGACAAUGGGGGCAACCCUGAUCCAGCCAUGCCGCGUGUGUGAAGAAGGCCUUUUGGUUGUAAAGCACUUUAAGCAGUGAAGAAGACUCCAUGGUUAAUACCCAUGGACGAUGACAUUAGCUGCAGAAUAAGCACCGGCUAACUCUGUGCCAGCAGCCGCGGUAAUACAGAGGGUGCAAGCGUUAAUCGGAAUUACUGGGCGUAAAGCGAGCGUAGGUGGCUUGAUAAGUCAGAUGUGAAAGCCCCGGGCUUAACCUGGGAACGGCAUCUGAUACUGUUAGGCUAGAGUAGGUGAGAGGAAGGUAGAAUUCCAGGUGUAGCGGUGAAAUGCGUAGAGAUCUGGAGGAAUACCGAUGGCGAAGGCAGCCUUCUGGCAUCAUACUGACACUGAGGUUCGAAAGCGUGGGUAGCAAACAGGAUUAGAUACCCUGGUAGUCCACGCCGUAAACGAUGUCUACUAGUCGUUGGGUCCCUUGAGGACUUAGUGACGCAGCUAACGCAAUAAGUAGACCGCCUGGGGAGUACGGCCGCAAGGUUAAAACUCAAAUGAAUUGACGGGGGCCCGCACAAGCGGUGGAGCAUGUGGUUUAAUUCGAUGCAACGCGAAGAACCUUACCUGGUCUUGACAUAUCUAGAAUCCUGCAGAGAUGCGGGAGUGCCUUCGGGAAUUAGAAUACAGGUGCUGCAUGGCUGUCGUCAGCUCGUGUCGUGAGAUGUUGGGUUAAGUCCCGCAACGAGCGCAACCCUUGUCCUUAGUUACCAGCGGUUUGGCCGGGAACUCUAA